rnacentral:lncRNA from 1 species
UUGUCUCUUCCUCAAAUCUCUUUGUGGCGCCUCGAUUACCAGGUCAACCAGCUUACCGCCGUCGGGCUCGAUCAACCCGCAUCGGAUUCGGGCCGGGCCUGGGGUAAGCCGUCCAGGCCCGGCCCGAAAAUGGACGAGUGGGGAUUUGGGUAAAGAGGGAGAGGGAGUCGGGGUUUUGAGAAAAAGAGAAGCCAUUGUUGCCAUUUUGGAGAUGUGUUGAGAUGCUCUUUGGCUUCUUUCUUCUUUU